UGGGGAAUAUUGCGCAAUGGGCGAAAGCCUGACGCAGCAACGCCGCGUGAGUGAUGAAGGCCUUCGGGUCGUAAAGCUCUGUCGGAGGGAACGAAUGCUCCUGAAGUUAACAGCCUCAGGAGGUGACGGUACCCUCAAAGGAAGCACCGGCUAACUCUGUGCCAGCAGCCGCGGUAAUACAGAGGGUGCUAGCGUUGUUCGGAAUUACUGGGCGUAAAGGGCGUGUAGGCGGCCUGCCAAGUCAGAUGUGAAAGCCCCGGGCUUAACCUGGGAACUGCAUUUGAGACUGGCCGGCUAGAGGUUGGAAGAGGAGAGUGGAAUUCCCAGUGUAGAGGUGAAAUUCGUAGAUAUUGGGAAGAACACCUGUGGCGAAGGCGGCUCUCUGGUCCGGUACUGACGCUCAAGUGCGAAAGCGUGGGGAGCAAACAGGAUUAGAUACCCAAGUAGUCCCUGAGCGGGCUGGCAAGGCGCAU
rnacentral:rRNA from 1 species